AACGCACCUUGCACCCUUUGGUAUUCCGAAGGGUAUGCCCGUUUGAGUGUCAUUGUAAUCUCACACCCCUAGAUUUAUUCGAAGGGCGGUGGACUUGGACGCUGCUGCGUUAAGCGGCUCGUCUUAAAUGCAUUAGUGCAACUUUCGGUUGGACAUAGUACAGCGUGAUAAGUAUCUUCGCUGGCUCUCCUCACGGAGGUGUUCGAACGUUAAGCUCUGUGCUUCUAAUCGUCCCUCGUGGACUAAGCUUCGGCUUAUUUGACAACUUGACCUCAAAUCGGGUAGGACUACCCGCUGAACUUAA
rnacentral:misc_RNA from 1 species